UUGCAUAAGACAUUACCCCCUAUUGAAAUAGUUCUAAGAGUAAACCGUUGCAGUAGUAAAAUAACCGUUGCCAAAGAUAAAUCUACGGCAACGGUCCCGGUAUAGAUUCAUCUGUAGCAACAGUUAUUUGAUUUCCCCUCAUAUUUUCCCUCUUCUAAUUUUACUAAACUGGAUUUUACCUUUUUCUUAUAUCCAGCCCUAGACCUUUUUGUAUUCCUCCAACUUGCCUCUUAAACAUCAGAACAUAUCCAGCCCCUUCUCUUAACUUCGAACCCUAACCUCUUGCGCCAGUCAAUCCGGGAAGGCUUUCCGUCAUGGCUCCGGCAAAAACUAUCGUAUUUCUUCUCCAGUACACAUCCCAACUGACACACAACCUAGGGUAAGUAAUUUAACAGUAGCAACAAAGAGUCACAAAUCUUGCUCCUCUAUAUUCUUACCAACUGAUGUGAGACACCACAAAGUUCCAUAUGUUUGGUAAGUUAACAAUAUUUUUUACAUUUUUUUUCCUCUGCAAUUUUAUUUGUAAAUGGGUGAAUAAAAUUACUUGGUUAAUACCUAAUUUGGUACCCUAAAUGUGUUGGUGAAAAAUGAGUUGGGGUUUUUCUUGUGAGUCAUUUGAUUUGGGUUUCAUGAGAUGUACUCCAAGUGAAGUCAUACACUUUAUUUGUGAGGUUGUGUGCUUGAUUAAUUUUCACUAUUACUUAAUUAUUGGCACUACCUAGGACUGAAAUGUUUGUGGCAUGUUAAAUUGGAUUUUCCAGAAUUUUCUAGGGAAAUCAGUUCUAGAUAUGUUUUAAACAGUAUUUGAAUUUCCGUGCUCAGAAGGUGUUUGAAAAUAUUUCACAAUGAACACCUUUGAGUGUCCCAAACAAAUAAAGUUGCAAUUGACUGGAAAGCCUAAUUGCAUAUCAGCAUGAUCUUUUUGUUUAGUCAUACAUAAGGCCAAAACAUAAAAAUAAGAUUUUUGGAACCGGAAGAUUCUACUUUAAUAGUAAUGUUUGUGUUAAACUUAUCAUAGUGCUAAACAUUAUAAUAUUAACUUCCAAAUAUUUUACUGGUACUAACUUUUAAAAGAAACCAAUUAAUAUAUUUAGUUACUAUUCGAACAAUGUUACUUUAUUUAUCAUCUUGGUUAAGCAAUUUUAUAGAUGGUGUGAGAAUAUUUAAGAGAAAUGUCAUGUAUACUUUUAUAAUAGUAUUUGUGUGGCAUAUACAGUUACUUACCUUUUGGAGGUGCAUGUCAAAUAAGAUGUGGUUUGCAUUGGACAAUAAGAUGUUACUAUUUGCUUCCUUAAAAUGAAUAAUAUUUUUAUUAUGUAUAAGAAAAUAGUUCCUCGAGUUUUGAUUGAAUUGCGCUUGCCUUCUCUCAUUUGUAUAAAAAUUGGAAGAGAUAAAUAUUCAUGCAUUAUUAAAAACAAGCAUCAACUAAAUAAUUAAUCUGGUAGAUUACUUAAGCAACAGCAUGAUUUAGUAGCUAUUGUUGAUGAAGAAGAUGUUUCAAAGCUUACUGUGUUGUACAUGAAUAUGAUAGCAUGGGUCAGCUAGUAAGUUUUCGUUUUCUUCACUUUUUCUAUCUGUGGUAUCCCAGCUUCUAUUGCUUUCUUUAGUUAUCUCUAUAUGUCACUAUUAGUGACUUUGGUCUAUUGCUUUGUCCAUUUCACUUAUUAGUUAGUCCUAAAUUGAUUUUCUGCUAAAACGUUUUGACCCGUCAUAUGUCCGUCAAUGCGUCCAUCGCCACAGAAAAUACGAAUGGGCUAAGGGCUGAUACUCCUCACCCUCCCUUUCACCACCCUCUCCCAAACUUUCAUCGUAUUACUAAAUAGCUUGAUGCCCCUAUAAUUAUUGCAAUUCUAUAUAUUACCCUUAUUCUUGUACACCGGAAUCAUUGUACUCCACUUCCACUCCUCAAACAUUUUCAUCGUCCUAAUAAACAGCCUAGAGAGCCAUUCCAAGCGGGCCUUACUCGCGUUCUUCCAUAAUUCUACAAGGAUUUCGUCUGGACCUGUCACUAGCCCUGCUCAUCCUAAGCAUCGUCCCCUCGACUUCUUCCACUCUCAUGCGACCACAGAACCCAAAAUCUCGAUGAUUCCCAAAGUGCUUCAAAUCCUACAACAAAAUGUUCCUACCUCCCCCGUCAUUCAAGAGUUUAUGGAAGUAUGACUACCAUCUCUGCCUGAUUUGCGCCUCAUACAUCAAAACUCUACCUUCCUCGUCUUUUAUGAACUUCACUUGAUCCAGAUCAAAUGCCUUUCUUUCUCUCACUUUUGCCAGCCUGUAAAGCUUCUUAUCCCCACCUUUAUCCCCGCCUUUAUCCCCAAUCUCCUCAUACAAACGUCCAAAAGCCGUAGUUUUAGCCUCAGUAAUCGCUAACUUCGCCCCCUUCUUAGCCUUCUUAUACUACUCCCUGUUAGCCCUCAUCUCCACCUUAUCUACGCUCUUGACUAGCUUCAAAUACGCCGUUUUCUUGGUUUUCACUUUCUCUUGGACCUCUUCAUUCCACCACCAGUCCCCUUUAUGGCCACCAACGAACCCUUUCGAGACCCCUAACACCUCUCUCACAGCUUUUCUAAUACAAUUCGGAAUCAUGGUCCACAUACAACUCGCGUACCCACUACUCCUCCAGGCCCCAAUAACUAGUAGCUUCUCCCCCAACUAUUGGGUUUUGUCCUUAGUCAAGGCACCCCACCAGAUCCAACGUAGAAAACCCAUAACUGUAUUAUUCCUUAUCCGCAUGAUCGCUAAUUCCAUAACCAAUAGCCUACGCUGGGUCGUGAGAAUCUUGCUCAGGAUGAUCUUGUAAUCCGUGCAUAAACCACUAUUGCACCUCCUGAGUAGUAGAUAAUCAAUUUCGGUCUUGGCCACCGUACUUUGGAAGGUGACCAAGUGCUCCUCCUUCUUCUGAAAACAUGAGUUAGCAAUCACCAAGUCAAAUGCUUUAGCAUAAUCUAACAGUGAAGUACCUCUUCCGUUUUUGACACAAAAAUUGAAGACGCCAUGUACCCCGUCAUAACCCCCAGACGACGUCCCAAUAUGGUCAUUGAAAUCUCCUCCUAUGAUAAUUUUAUCGAUGUGCGGAAUUCCCCGCACCAACCCAUCUAAGUCAUCCCAGAAGUGCCUUUUCACCUUCUCAUCCAAACCCACCUGAGGCGCGUAGGCGCUUAUUAUGUUGAAGGUACAUCCUCCCACAACUAUCUUAGUUGACAUCAACCUGUCAUUCACUCUCUUAACCUCUACCAAUAGCUCUCUAAGUUCCCUAUCGACUAAGAUGCUUCCCCCAUUCUUCCCCUUCAUCCCCCCGAAUACCACAACUUAUAUCCAUCAGCAUCGCGUGCCUUAGUCCCUACCCAGCUAGUCUCCUGGACACAUGCUAUAUUGAUCUUUCUCUUCUGGAGAAUCUUCGCUAAUUCUAUGGACUUUCCCGUCAAUGUCCCUAUAUUCCAGGAUCCAAAUCACAUCGUAGAGGUUUCCUUACCCCCUUACUACCCUUGGCCCUCACCCCCCGCCCCACCCGAGGACAUGACCUUACUCUAUCAUUGUUCACCACAACCACUAUAGUAUAAGGUAUAAUAAUCAAUUCAAAUUAAUGCAAUAUUCCUAGUCACAACACAAGGCAACAAAAUCGUAAGUGCUACGUUAGUAUAACACUGGGGGAGAAAUUCCUAAAAUCAAGGGACAUAGCAAGAAUGGGGAAACAAGUCAAAGCUAUUAGACUCCGAAUAACGAGUAUAAACGAUGAAUAACAGAUCGAGGAUGCUACUCAAUCACACAAAAACGAGUAACUAAGUGUACAACCACAUAAACCAAAAAACAAAUCGAUAGGUAGUAAAAGAAUUAAAGCAACAAGAGGUAUAACAAUAUAGCUCAAUACUAGAAUUAAAAAAAAUACCAAUUCAAGAAAUUUAGAACCUGGAAUCAAGUUGGGGUUGUCUGAAUAGUGACACCACCAGUCACUAGCAUGUGCACUCUACUCGCCGCCGGAUGUACGCCGAAAAUUGAUACUCUAUGCAGAUUUGGUCUGGCCAACACGUACUCCGACAGAGUGAAUGGAGGCAGAUCUUAACCAGGAAAGGGUUAGAGAGAGACGGAAGGAGAGAGAGAUACAUGGGAGAAAAAGGGAUGAAAAGCAAGGGGGAGAACGAGAGAGGGAAAAGAAAGAAGGAUUAAGGGGUGAUAUACUUACUUGGUCGCCAGGGACCUGCACUCUGGUUGGAGGGGAAAAGACCGUACAGGUAGGCCCAAACCCGGAUGAGCCCAACUAAACCCAAAAAAUCCUUCUUCUGAAAACAUGAGUUAGCAAUCAUCAAAUCAAAUGCUUUAGCAUAAUCUAAUAGCGAAGUGCCUCCUUCGUUUCUGACACAAAAAUCGAAGCCAUCAUGUACCCCGUCAUAAUCCCCAGACGACGUCCCAAUAUGGCCAUUGAAAUUUCCUUUUAUGAUAAGUUUCUUGAUCUGCAAAAUUCCCCUCACCAACCCAUCUUAGUCAUCCCAGAAGCACCUUUUAAGCUCCUCGUCCAACCCACCUGAGGCGCAUAGGCACUAAUUAUGUUAAAGGUACAUCCUCCCACAACUAUCUUAAUAGCCAUCAACCUGUCAAUCACCCUCAUAACCUGUACCACUAGCUCUCUAAGUUCCCUAUCGACUAAAAUGCCUACCCCAUUCUUCCCCUUCAUCCCUUCGAGUACCACAACCUAUACCCCACAUGCCUUAGUCCCUACCUAUCUAGUCUCCUGGAUACAGGCUAUGUUGAUAUUCCUCUACUGGAGAAUCUUCGCUAAUUCUAUGGACUUCCCCGUCGAUGUCCCUAUAUUCCAUGAUCCAAAUCGCAGCCUAGAGGUUCCCUUACCCCCUUACUACCUUUGGCUCCAAUCCCCCGCCCUACCUGAGGACUUUACGUUACUCUAGCAUUGCUCACCACAGCCACUAUAGUCUAAGGGAUAAUAAUCAAUUCAAAUUAAUGCAAUAUUCCUAGUCACAACAUAAGGAAACAAAAUCAGAAGAGCUACAAUAGUAAACCACUAGGGGGAAAAUUUCCUAAAAUCAAGGGACACAACAAGAGUUGGGAAACAAGUCAAAGCGAUUAAACUCCGAAUAACCAGUAUAAAUGAUGAAUAACAAAUCAAUGAUGCUACACAAUCACGCAAAAAUAAGUAACCAAGUAAGAGUAAAAAAAAAUAAAAAAAGUGACAUGCAGUAAAAGAAUUAAAGCAACAAGAGAUAUAACAAUAUAGCUCAAUACCAGAAUUUGAAAAAUACCAAUUCAAGAAAUUUAGAACGUGGAAUCAAGUCGGGGUUGUUUGAACAGUGAUGCCUCCAGUCAUCGGCGCGUGCGCUCCACUUGCCGCCGAAUGUCGUCGAAAAUCGGUACUCUAUGAAAAUCGGGUCCUGUCGGCGCGUACCCUGACAGAGCGAACAUAGGCAAAUCUUGACUAGGAAAGGGAUAUAGAGAGACGGAAGGAGAGAGAUAUACAAGAAAGAAAAAGGGACGAAAAACAAGGUGGGAGAUCGAGAGAGGGAAAGGAAGGAAUGAUUAAUGGGUGAUAUACUUACUUUGUCGCCGGGGACCUGCACUCCGGUUGGAGGGGAAAGGACCGUACAAGUAGGCCUGAACCCGGACGUGCCCAACUAAACCCAAAAAAUCCUUCUUCUGAAAACACGAGUUAGCAAUCACCAACUCAAAUGCUUUAGCAUUAUCUAACAGCGAAGUACCCCCUCUGUUUCUGACACCAAAAUCGAAGCCGUCAUAUACCCCGUCAUAAUCCCCAGAUGACGUCCCAAUAUGGCCAUUGAAAUCUCCUUCUAUGAUAAGUUUCUCGAUAUGCGAAAUUCGCCGCACCAACCCAUCUAAGUCAUGCCAGAAGCGCCUCAUCCAAACCCACAUAAGGAACAGAGGCGGAUCUUGACUAGGAAAGAGAUAGAGAGAGAUGGGAGGAGAGAGAGAUACAGGGGAUAAAAAGGGACAAAAAGCAAGGGGGGAGAACGAGAGAGGGAAAGGAAAGACGGAUUAAGGGGUGAUAUACUUACCUGGUCGACGAGGACCUGCACUCCGAUUGGAGGGGAAAUGAGCAUAUAGGUAGGCCUGAACCCAAACGGGCCUAACUAAACCCAAAAUAUCCCAACCCACUAACAGCCCGAUCCCCCAGCCUACUAACUAGCCCGCACCCUUAACUGGACGGUUGUUUUUUCCCCACCCAGCCUGGUCUAGCCCGUUCGGUAAAUACAUAUACUCUCAACAAUAAAUAAGAAAAAUAAGAAAUGGUCUUUCACAUGAAUGUGGACCACUUAAAUGAAGAAGUAACUUACAACUUUACCAUGGAAAUUCCACCAGCUUAGAUCAAGUGAAACAUGAAAAGAAAGGUUGCCGAGUUGUGGUGGGAUUGUACUAGUUAAGCCCAUGUCCAAAAUAUUCAAUGAAAUAACUCUUUGAUGACGAAAGCCACAAGUGAUUCUGAUCCAAUUACAAACUGAGGUUGAAGAAGACUAGUUUGUUAAAAGAAUUUGAUAAGGUUCUAAAGUGAUGUGGGCUUUCAAGGCAAAAAUGCUAGAAGCUGAAAAGAGGAGGCUAUCUCCAUUAUUGAUAUCCUUAUUUCCCUUGACUACCAUGAAAGAAAAUGCAUUUGUGGUUUUCAAUAUAGAUAGAGAGAAUAAUGGAAUAAGAGUUGGCUCUCUAGGUCAUCCACUUUCAUGAUUUUGGAAUUUGGAAUUGAUAAAGUCAAGUCGCAUGACUCGAAAUUUACAACCAAAUUUCCAUGUUGCUUUGCUCCACUUGCCCUAUUUUGUUAAUAUAACACCCACCACUUCCCAUUUCCUUAGCAUACUUUGUUGCUUAUUUUGGUUGCAAUUGUGCAACUAUAAAAAUCAGUUGUAUCCAUAAAAAGUGUCUACUCUUGAUUUUCUCUUGGUUAAUUUACUUCUUGACUUUUAAUGUUGGGUAUAUGUUUCUUCUCUUAACAUUUUAAUAAUUUAAGUGAUAUUUUUAGACAAAGAUGAGUACCUGGUGAGACAAUCAGAUUCUAAGCCCCUUACUAAUAGCCCAAUUUAACGAUCCGACCAGUCGUUUUGAACUUUUGCAUUUCAUUUGGUGGUUUGAGACUUUGAGUAGCUUCAUAUUAUGUAUUAUAACUUGUGUGUAUGGUUGGUUUCAGUUUUCGAGCGGUUCGGGAAUAAUUUGAAAGAAUGAUUCUCAUUUUAGAAGUUUUAAGUUGGAAGAGUUGACCAAAAUUUGACUUUUGGGUAAAUUGACUCGGAAUUAGGUUUUAAUUGUUUCGAUAGGUUUGUAUGAUGAUUUUGGACUUGUACGUCUGUUCGGAUUUGGUUUCGAAGGUUCCUAGAAGAAUUUGAUACUAUUUGUCGAAAGUUCGCAAUUUGAAGAACUUAAGAGUUCAUAUGUUUGACCAAGAGUUGACUUUGAUGUUAUUGGACUCCAUUUGGUAUUCCGAGAAUUUGGAUAGGUCUAUAUAGUUGAAUUGAACUUGUACGCAAAGUUUGAAAAUAAUCUGAAGUUUUUCAGUGUGAUUCGAACACUCUUUUGAAAGAAUGAAAAUUUAACAAUUUAAGAGAAAUUUUAUUCGGUUUGAGCCUCGAUUCUUUGUUGUGAUGUUCCCGUUGAUGUUUUUAGGCUUUGGAUAAAUUUGGAUGAUGUAUUUGUACUUGUUGGUAUGAUUGGAUGGGGUCCCGAGGGGCUCAAGUGUGUUUUGGAUCAUUCGUUGAGAAACUAGUUAAGUUAAUAAUUUGAAGUUUGACCAUGGUCAAUAUCAGGUCAAGAUGACCUCUUUUCGGUGUUUUGAGUGCGCAAGCAGGUUCGUAGCGUGAUUUAUGAUUGAAAUGCAUAUAUGGUUUGUGUCCGGGAGGUUCCGAAUGAGUUUUGGGUGCUAAAACGAAGAUUUUCUUACUGCUGGUUUUUUUUCCUGGUGUAAAUAAUUUAAAAAAUGCCAUUUAUGUCCCUGAAAUCUUCCGACUUCGUUUAAAACUUCAAAACAUCAUAUCUUCCUCAUUUUAAGGCCAAAUUAGGUUAUUCAAGAGACUAUCUUGGGUACAAUCUUGCAAGGAUCAUGUUGGGCUUAUCCAACGUGAGUUUCGGGAUCAUCUAGGACCUGAUUUGAGCUGGGACAACUGCUGCAUUUUUUUUCUUGUUUCAGAAUUUAGAUAUUUUUUCUCCCAAGGUUUUGGAGCUCAAUUUGGGCGAUUUUGGAGGGGAUUUUUACUACUUGGAUUGGGGUAAGUAUUUUUAACUUAUAUUUGUUAUUACUUCAUAAUUUCAACCUCGAUUUUAGUGUUUGAUUAUUUACUUGAAGGAGAAAUUGGAAAUUUUAGUAAAAGCUUUCUAAAACAUAAAUUGAUGGCUUGAAGGCUGAUUUGAGGUCAAAAUUAAAUGACUUUGGUAUGGUUGUACUCGUAUCAGAAUGAGUGUUCGGAAUUUAUGAGUUUUGUUGGAUUCUGAGCUGCGAGCCCCGGGUUGACUUUUUGAUUUUAGUUAAAGAUCGAAUCUUUAUUAUCUGAAUUUGUUUCCUACGGCUUUUAUUUAUGAUAUUAAGUUAUUUUGGCUCGAUUUGAGCCUUCCGGAAGUAGAUUUUUACGGAAAUGGCUUAUUAGUAGAUUGAAUUAGCUUGUUUGAGGUAAGUAUCUCGCCUAACUUUGUGUGGGGGAACUACCCCUUAGGAUUUGAGUUGUUUGUAUUAAUUGAAUUGUCUGGGAGACGUUGACUUGAGGUGACAAGUAUUUACACGGGUUCAUAUGUGAUAUUUUGACCGGUUUAGGCUCUUAGGCUUCUUUCAUGCAUUUAAUUGAUAUUUUCAUAUCAUGUUAUAUCUUGCAUUGUUUAGUUUACUCUUACAUGCCUUGUUUGACGUUGUUAGUACAUGUUCUAUCUCUUAUUGUCAAAUUUGCUCUUAUAUGCCUGUAUUGAAGAUGUUACCUCUUUUAUGUCAUGUUACCCCCUUUAUUGUUGAGUUAUUCUUAUUCGGAGUUGUUAUUACAUUAAAUUUUUUCGUGUUGAGUUAUUCUCAUGUAUUUAGACGUAGUUACUAUUUCAUACUAUCUCUUUCAUUGUUAAGCUUAUGUUAUACAUUUGAAUUGAAAAUUGUCAUUUCGCGGGAAUACCUUCAUUUUGAGUUAUUGAAGUUGAAUUCGUGAAAGCUAUUAGCACAUUGAGGUUGAGGUUGUUGUUUAUUAAGAUAUCUUUCCUUGUUAAGUAUUUCUCAUUCAUUUGUUUAUUUUGAGAUUGUUGUAUACAUUGUGGUUGAGCCGUGGGCUAUGUGUUCUGGUAAAAUUGAUAUUGUUGAUUUUGGCAAGUUAUGGUAUAUGGGCGCGUGUGGUGCCAUGUGUUAUUGUGUUGUGAUAUUGAUGCGCAUGCAGAGGUAUAAGGAUAGGGGUUGAUGUGCAUGCGGCAACAUAAGGUAGAAUUUAUUUGCGUGUUGCUAGUAUAGGAAUUGCUUGAAGCCACGCUGCGACAUAAGGGGGCUAAAGCGUGUGUAGCUAUUUCGGAAAAAAUAUUUUCAAAAAUCUAAAUGUAAGGCUCACGCGGUGAUAUAAUAAAAUAUUGUGAUUGUGAUUUGUGAAUUGUGAAUAUAAGGUGUGGUACCUCAAUGUGAAUUUGUUGUACAUUCUACAUUUGAAAGGCUUGUUGAUUUGAAUGGUUAUGGUUUUUCCCUAAAUCAUCUCACUUGUAUUUUGAUUGUAUUUGGUUAUUUGUUGUUAUUUUGUAUGAGAACGAUUGUGACUUCUUAUAUGAGUCAUGCAUUCUACGUGAUUUGCUGUGUUGCUUUAAUGUGCCAACCUGUGCCUUCGUGUUACUUGGUGAAUUGAGUUUCUAGAUGAAUUUGCCUACGCGGAGUCAUUAUCUCAUACUCUGCUGAGUUGUUGGUAACAUAAUAGUUUUAAAUAAAAGAAUUAUUAACAUGCUUUAUUUUAUGUGACUCUUAAGAUAGAACUCGUUAUCUCAUUCGGUGCUUUGCUAUUUUCAAAUGAUUAUCACAUUUUACUUUAAUUGGGUUCUCAAAUUAAACUCAUUACGUUAUUUGAUGUUUUACUUUACGUGAAAUUGUUAUCACGUCUUACUUUAACAAAUUCUAUAUUUAAUUCGUUAACUUAUCUGAUAUUUUUCUUAAUUUUAAUACGCUAUUUUACUUUAUGUUAUUGAUUUCUAAACUAAACUCAUUUGAUAUUCUAUUUCUGUAUAAAUUGUACUUUAUUUUACUUUAUUUAUUUUUUAAAAUAAACUCAUUAUCUCAUUUGACGCCUUUAUUCAAAAUUGUUAUUAUGACUUAUUGUAUUUAAAUAAACCUCUCGAAUAUUUUAUUUGACAUUUGACAUGGAUACAAUGUACAUGGUAGCACGUGGACUUUGCCGUGCGAAGGUGAUUGAUAAUGUGGGCACGAGGUGUCAUGCGUGUAAGAUUUGGAUUUGUGGCUUAUGAUUUGUGGUUACAAGGUGUGGUGUCUUGGGGUAAUUCUUGUUGUAAGUCAUGCGUUGGGAACAAUUUGAUUACUUGAAUUAUCACAUGUUUUCCAAAUUUGAGUUCAUUUAUAUUUCAUCUGUGUUCGUAUUAUGUUGCUGCUUUAUUACCCGUUUACUUCUUGUUGUCAAUUGUGUUUUUACUAUUCCUCUAUUGGUUUUAUAUUAAUAAUCUUUACGCUGUUAGCCUUACAUUGAUGUUCUUUCUAUUGCUAGCUUUAUGUUGAUAUCUUGCACAUGUUUUAUGUCUAGUGAGUGUCUCGACUUGCCUCGUCACUACUCCAUUGAGGUUACUCUUGAUACUUAUGGGGUACCGCUGUGAUGUACUCAUGUUACGCUUCUGUACAUUUUUGUAUAGAUCCAGACACUUCUGAUCGUGUUGGUUCUUGAGAGUUGUGUUUGCACGUCUGGAGUCUUCAAGGUAUACCUUCUUGACGUUCGCAUGCCUCAGAGUCACCUUCUGAUAUUAUCUUUACUGUUGUUUAUCUUCAUUUCAGAAUAUUAUUGUAUUUAGAAAUUCUAGUGUAUGUCGGUAGAGCUUAUGACUCUGUACUAUCGGUUCUGGGGAUUGUAUAACAUUUGUUCAGUUUUAGUUACGUUAUCUCAUUUAUC
rnacentral:lncRNA from 1 species